rnacentral:rRNA from 1 species
UCUACAGCCAUACCACCCUGAACGCGCCCGAUCUCAUCUGAUCUGGGAAGCUAAGCAAGGUCGGGCCUUUUUAGUACUUGGAUGGGAAAACCAUCCUCAGGUGGGUCUUCCACCCCCAGAGCUAUGCUGACUGAGGC